CUACGGGCCGCAGCAGGCGAGAAAACUUUGCAAUGUGCGAAAGCACGACAAGGUUAAUCCGAGUGGUUUGUGCUAAACGAACCUUUUGACAGUCCUAGAAACACUGUUGAAUAAGGGGUGGGCAAGUUCUGGCGUCAGCCGCCGCGGUAAAACCAGCACCUCAAGUUGUCAGGAUGAUUAUUGGGCCUAAAGCAUCCGUAGCCGGCUCUGUAAGUUUUCGGUUAAAUCUGUACGCUCAACGUACAGGCUGCCGGGAAUACUGCAGAGCUAGGGAGUGGGAGAGGUAGACGGUACUCGGUAGGAAGGGGUAAAAUCCUUUGAUCUAUUGAUGACCACCUGUGGCGAAGGCGGUCUACCAGAACACGUCCGACGGUGAGGGAUGAAAGCUGGGGGAGCAAACCGGAUUAGAUACCCCUGUAGUC
rnacentral:rRNA from 1 species